CGCACAUUGCGCCCCUCGGUAUUCCGGGGGGCAUGCCUGUCCGAGCGUCAUUGCACCUCUCAAGCGUAGCUUGGUCAUGGGUCUAGUCUGCAAAGACCUGCCCGAAAACGAGCGGCGGUCCGGGGAGACCUCAAGCGCAGUCAAAUAUUUCGCUUCGAGUCCCUUCCUGCGGCCUGCCGGAAAUAUACAACCCAAUGAUUGACCUCGGAUCAGGUAGGGAUACCCGCUGAACUUAA
rnacentral:misc_RNA from 1 species